rnacentral:tRNA from 1 species
AUUCUUAUAGCUCAAGUUAGAGCGUGACAUUGAAGAUGUUAAGGUGAAUUAUUUCUAAGAAUA